rnacentral:rRNA from 1 species
AGUUUGAUCCUGGCUCAGGAUGAACGCUAGCUACAGGCUUAACACAUGCAAGUCGAGGGGCAGCAUGGUCUUAGCUUGCUAAGGCUGAUGGCGACCGGCGCACGGGUGAGUAACACGUAUCCAACCUGCCGUCUACUCUUGGCCAGCCUUCUGAAAGGAAGAUUAAUCCAGGAUGGCAUCAUGAGUUCACAUGUCCGCAUGAUUAAAGGUAUUUUCCGGUAGACGAUGGGGAUGCGUUCCAUUAGAUAGUAGGCGGGGUAACGGCCCACCUAGUCAACGAUGGAUAGGGGUUCUGAGAGGAAGGUCCCCCACAUUGGAACUGAGACACGGUCCAAACUCCUACGGGAGGCAGCAGUGAGGAAUAUUGGUCAAUGGGCGAUGGCCUGAACCAGCCAAGUAGCGUGAAGGAUGACUGCCCUAUGGGUUGUAAACUUCUUUUAUAAAGGAAUAAAGUCGGGUAUGCAUACCCGUUUGCAUGUACUUUAUGAAUAAGGAUCGGCUAACUCCGUGCCAGCAGCCGCGGUAAUACGGAGGAUCCGAGCGUUAUCCGGAUUUAUUGGGUUUAAAGGGAGCGUAGAUGGAUGUUUAAGUCAGUUGUGAAAGUUUGCGGCUCAACCGUAAAAUUGCAGUUGAUACUGGAUGUCUUGAGUGCAGUUGAGGCAGGCGGAAUUCGUGGUGUAGCGGUGAAAUGCUUAGAUAUCACGAAGAACUCCGAUUGCGAAGGCAGCCUGCUAAGCUGCAACUGACAUUGAGGCUCGAAAGUGUGGGUAUCAAACAGGAUUAGAUACCCUGGUAGUCCACACGGUAAACGAUGAAUACUCGCUGUUUGCGAUAUACGGCAAGCGGCCAAGCGAAAGCGUUAAGUAUUCCACCUGGGGAGUACGCCGGCAACGGUGAAACUCAAAGGAAUUGACGGGGGCCCGCACAAGCGGAGGAACAUGUGGUUUAAUUCGAUGAUACGCGAGGAACCUUACCCGGGCUUAAAUUGCACUCGAAUGAUCCGGAAACGGUUCAGCUAGCAAUAGCGAGUGUGAAGGUGCUGCAUGGUUGUCGUCAGCUCGUGUCGUGAGGUGUCGGCUUAAGUGCCAUAACGAGCGCAACCCUUGUUGUCAGUUACUAACAGGUGAUGCUGAGGACUCUGACAAGACUGCCAUCGUAAGAUGUGAGGAAGGUGG